UGCCAGCCGCCGCGGUAACACGGGGGGCGCAAGCGUUAUUCGGAAUUAUUGGGCGUAAAGGGCGCGCAGGCGGUCUUGUCCGUCAGGUGUGAAAGCUCGGGGCUCAACCCCGGAAGUGCACUUGAAACAGCAAGACUUGAAUACUGGAGAGGAAAGCGGAAUUCCUGGUGUAGAGGUGAAAUUCGUAGAUAUCAGGAGGAACACCGAUGGCGAAGGCAGCUUUCUGGACAGAUACUGACGCUGAGAUGCGAAAGCGUGGGGAGCGAACAGGAUUAGAUA
rnacentral:rRNA from 1 species